UCACUUCGCAGCUUUCAUCGCUC
rnacentral:siRNA from 1 species